GAUAAGACUUUAUUUAUUUACUUAUUGGCUAAGCCCUGCAGCAUGUCCAAAGUUCCAGGGCCAGAACCACAGCAUUAUCCGAGCAGCAGCAGCACAAGGCCUGGCCCUCAACCUGCUAGACCACCAAGGAGCUCCUAGGACCUUACCUCAUGGAUUCCCUGCUGGUUCAGCAGGUUAAGGAUCCAGUGUUGUCACUGCUGCCACUGCUAUGGCACAAGUUCGAUCCCUGGCUCCGGAACUUCUGCAUGCCAUAGGCAUGGGGCAAAAAAAUAAACUGGCUGGAAGAAGCUGUCACCAGGACAGGUGGUUAUUGCAGGGCGGAGGGACUGCAUUGCUUUGCCCAAGACAUUAUGCUCAGUGCCACUCACAUAGGCCCAGUGUUGAAUGGGUGCAUCUGGCUGCUGUGCCACCAAGAGGGACUCAAAGAAUCCCUGAUGGAAGCCUUCAAGCUCCAUGCCAAACAUUUUCUUUCAGGUUCUUGGAGCUGAACUCUGGUGACUCCAGAAAAGAAGGCCUCCAGUCGCCAAGUUUUCAUACCUUCUUUGAGUGAUAAGACGCAGAGAGGAGGCGCCAUAUGUUUCUGCAUCGGUGCACACCCAACGAGCCUUCUGAGCCCUCAGAGCAAGGCAAAGGCACCAUCCCUCAAAGAGGAGCCCCUUUCCAGAAGGGGAUUCCUUUAUGAGGUGGCGGGAGCAGCAUCCAUGAUGCACUUGGACACACAGCGUGGAGGAAGCUCCCAGGAACCUUUAUCGUCUUCUCUGUUCUGCAUCAUGCUGAUCUUUCUUGUAUGACUUGUGUAUGACUUGGCCUUGGGCCUAGUGAUUGGUGAAAUUGGAGACGAUAAUACCAACCCACAAGUUUGUUUCACAAACUAAGUUCACUUUUUAAAACUGUUUGGUUAGAUAAACCCACUCUGAGUACCAGCUUUGCCACUUCCUAACUGGGUCAUUUGGGGCAAGUCACUUGCCUUCUCUGACUCAUUUCUCCACUAAAAAUGAGGAGGGGAGUUCCCACUGUGGCUCAGCAGAAAUGAAACUGACUGGUAUCCAUGAGGAUGAGGGUUCAAUCCCUGACCUUGCUCAGUGGGUUAAUGAUCUGGCGUUGCCAUGAGCUGUGGUGCAGAUCACAGAUAAGGCUCAGAUCUGGUGUGGCUGUGGCUGUGGUAUAGGCCGGCAGCUGCAGCUCCAACUCGACCCCUAGCCUGGGAACUUCCACAUGCUGAACCUAAAAAAGCAAAAAGCAAAAAAAAGGGGAGGAAGCUGGGGUUCCUGCUGUGUUGCAAUAAAGUCUCUGCAGAGCCAUAUGUUGGGUCCCUAGUCCCCGUACAAUGGGUUAAAGGAUCCAACGUUGCUGCAGCUGUGGUGUAGGUCACGGCUGUGGCUCAGAUUCAGUCCCUGGACUGGGAAUUUCCAUACACUGAGUAUGCAACCAGAAAACAAAAAAUACUUAAAAUGGGGAGGAAGCUAUUCGUGGCUUCAUUGGGCCUCUGAUGAGUGAUUGGAAGCACUUUUUUGAACAAAUGUGCUCAAAAGUUUUCAAUAAAUAUUAGAUUCUUGUCUCAAUUUGGUGGAAAGAUGUAUAUCUCCUUGAGUUCAGGGAGGAAUCAGAGGAGACUGUAUUUUAAGCUGAAGUUACAAUCACCGGCAUAAGUCAGGCUACAGAUCUUUCUAUUUUUCCCAGCAGUGUGUGUGGGAGGAUCUAAAUGACACCCCAACAUGUUACUCAAAGGAUUUGAAGGUUUUGCCUAAAAUGAAGACCAUAAUUUCACCUUUUCUUUAAGAGUCCCGGCUUUCCAGGACUUGCCUUUGUUUUGUCACUUAAGCCAGGGUGGUGCAACAGAUAGAAAGUAGGCACUCCUCUCCCCCCACCCCGACCCCUGGCCCAGUAAACACUAGAAUUUCCCUGUUUGAACUAUGAAAGAAAUAGGGAGUUAGACUCAAAGAAACAGCCCCCAACUUGCCACACGAGGGGGGAGGGUCCUUUUCCCAAUAAGGGUUUAGGAAAGGAGAGCCUAAGGAGAUUUCAAUGGGACCAGCAGUUGUAGUGAUGAAUUUUCAGGGAAGAUGCAUUUACCAAUGGAAUGAAUACUUUCAAAUCGACCUUUCUCAGGUCACACCGCAACUUCCAUACCAGUAUUUAUGUAAUUUUUACAAAGCACUUUUGAGAGAGAAACACACACGUGCACAUACACAGGCACUAUAUUUAGUAACACCGCCCAUGCAGUCUUUGCCUUAAAAACUCCUAUUUCAUCAUCUGGCUGGAGAACCAUAGCCUAGCUGUGACUAGAAGCCCAGGGCAGAAGAACCCUGUGGAUACAAGAGCCAACCUACCAACUGGAGCAGGAACAACAAGCACCACCACAACGAAAUGAUUUAUUUUCAAGAUAAUAAGUGCACCCUAAAACAGCAGACAGUUUUUCCAAUUUCAAUAGUUGGAAAUGAAAAGAAUGCCAUUCAACCUAUGUACAAAAUUAAAAUAGACUCAAAGACCUAGAAAACAAACAUACGGUUCCCAGAGUGGGACGGGGAGGGGAAGGGAUAAAUUAGGAGUAUGGGAUUAAUAGAUACACACUGUUAUAUUUAAAAUACAUAAACAACGAGUUUACUGGAGAACACAGGGCACUCUAUUCAAUAUCUCGUAACAAUCUAUAAUGGAAAAGAAUCUAAAGCUGUACACCUGAAACGAACAUAGUAUCAUAAACAGCUAGUGUUUAAUAAACACUUUUUUAAAGAAAAUAAAUAGUUUGAAAUGAAUGUGGGGGGGUACAGUACCAACCACAGGCAAUUGAAUUUCUCAAAAACGUUUUAUUUCCCCAGCCUUACAAAUGAAUCUUCAGACUUACUGGUCCCAGCAAACAUUACACUGACUGAUACUUUGGUCCACUAGAAAGGUUGGGAAAUGGAGGAAGGUUCCAUUCUGUAGUAUUUACCAGUGUCUCCUCUUGUUGGCUUUGGGAGAGUGGUGGUCUGCAGAGCUAUUGCAGAGCAGUUUGCUGGUAAGGCCAGCCAGCUCAGGGCCUCCCAGAACUAACUCCCCAUAAACUGCAG
rnacentral:lncRNA from 9 species